UCUCCGUAGGUGAACCUGCGGAGGGAUCAUUACAGAGUUCUCGCCCUCACGGGUAGAUCUCCCACCCACUGUUAUCGUUACUGUGUUGCUUUGGCGGGCCGCCGGGCCCCGCUCGGCCGCCGGCUCCGGCUGGCGCGCGCCCGCCAGAGGCCCAACAAACUCUGGAUGUUAGUGUCGUCUGAGUACUAUAUAAUAGUUAAAACUUUCAACAAGGGAUCUCUUGGUUCUG
rnacentral:misc_RNA from 1 species